AAGGGUAUAGCCCAGUGGUAGAGUGUGUGCUUAGCAUGCACAAAAUCUUGGGAAAUCCUGGGUUCAAUCCCCAGUACCUCCU
rnacentral:tRNA from 1 species